rnacentral:rRNA from 1 species
CAAAUGGGAGGUAUAUUUCUUCUAAAGCUAAAUAUUGGCCAGAGACCGAUAGCGCACAAGUAGAGUGAUCGAAAGAUGAAAAGCACUUUGAAAAGAGGGUUAAACAGCACGUGAAAUUGUUAAAAGGGAAGCGCUUGUGACCAGACUUGCGCUCGGUGAAUCACCCAGCUCUCGCGGCUGGGGCAUUUUGCCGGCUCAGGCCAGCAUCAGCUUGCCGUCGGGGACAAAAGCUUCGGGAACGUAGCUCUCUUCGGGGAGUGUUAUAGCCCGUUGCAUAAUACCCUUCGGUGGGCUGAGGUACGCGCUCCGCAAGGAUGCUGGCGUA